AUUUAUAUAGUUUAUAAAAAUAUUAAAUUGCAAAUUUAAAGAUAUUAGAAUUAAUUAUAAAUU
rnacentral:tRNA from 1 species